UGUUGACAGGUUGUCAUGGGAACUCAGGCUAAGAUCAAAGUUGCACAAAAUCUACAUGAGGAACUGCACUAAAGACUGUUAGAAUUCAGAAACCACCGCAUAAAGAUUGACCAGAAGAUAUCCUCAGUGACAAGUGUUUGUGAUCAAAUUCAGAUCUGGUGUGAUUAACAUUGGAACCUGCUCUCCAUCCUGAAAAACAGAAGGAUGCAGAAUAAACAGACAGAGAGGAGAGGAAAAAGGUACACAAAGAUCUUUACCAAUGAUGACAGAAAGCAAAUGCCUGAUAGCAAGACAACUGGAGGAAGAUCUACUCCCUGUAUCAACAAGGCUAAUGCUAAGCUGGCUACUGGACUCACGAUUGGAGUGUCAGAGAAAGAGAAGAAAACAAUUGCUGAGAAGAGGAAAGAAAAGUACAAAGCGGAAAUGCAGAAACAAAUUCCUAAAAAUCAGACAGAAUAAGUUGGGGCUGCUGGUUUGGAUCCUCAAGUUC
rnacentral:lncRNA from 1 species